ACUUUUAAAGGAUAAAAGUAAUCCACUGGUCUUAGGAACCAAAAACCUUGGUGCAACUCCAAG
rnacentral:tRNA from 1 species